GCCGCGGCGGUCACGGAGCGCACGUAAGCACGAAGGGCGGCGGGGCCUUAGGCUUGCACGCUGCCUGGUGAUAAGGUUGGGCGGUGCACUUGAUGUGGUCCUUCAUGAGCCCCUAUCCUUUGAACCGCUAGAUGAGGAAACAGAGAGAAAGACUAUGCACACAAUCACAGCAGGAAGUGAAGGAGACACCAGGACUCAAACCCAGGCAGUUCAACGGCCUAGUCUGCACACUAACCACAGCACCCCAUUGCCUCCCUCUUCUGCAGCUGGGAAAAGAUGGAAUUCAGUGUCAGAGAGGUGGCUGGAAGGAGAGCAGCUCUAAACGUUGCACCAAGAAACUCAUGGGACUCCAGGACUGCACAGCUGGAACUGCCCUCCCAGCAGGAUGGCUGAUAAGGGGAUGACUAGCCGCAGGAAAAAGAGCAAGCAAGAUAACUAGAAUUCUUUGGCAGGAGGCCAAGGGCAUCUGUGCCACCAGCCCUGGGAAAAAACUAAGGAAUAUGCUUUAUUUCCUUCACCAAUCCCCUCUGCCUCCAGAAGGAAUCUCUCAUCUCCUUGAAACUAUGAUGAACUCUGGAAAUUCUGUGCCUCACAGAGUAUUUACCUUGGAUUAAAUUAUCUCAGAGUUGUGUUU